UAAGCUUCCUGGCCUGUUAGCUAAGAUCAAGUGUAGUAUUUGUUCUUAUCAGUUUAAAUACCAUAUAAGAUUAUAUAUAAUGGUGUCAACUAGUUGGUGAUAAUUCCUU
rnacentral:snRNA from 1 species